UACGUAGGGUGCAAGCGUUGUCCGGAAUUAUUGGGCGUAAAGAGCUCGUAGGCGGUCUGUUGCGUCCGCUGUGAAAACUCGGGGCUUAACCCCGAGCCUGCAGUGGGUACGGGCAGACUAGAGUGCGGUAGGGGAGACUGGAAUUCCUGGUGUAGCGGUGAAAUGCGCAGAUAUCAGGAGGAACACCGGUGGCGAAGGCGGGUCUCUGGGCCGAAACUGACGCUGAGGAGCGAAAGCAUGGGGAGCGAACAGG
rnacentral:rRNA from 1 species